rnacentral:rRNA from 1 species
AGAAUCAACGCUGGCGGCGUGCCUAACACAUGCAAGUCGCACGAGAAAGGGGCUUCGGCUCUGAGUAAAGUGGCGCACGGGUGAGUAACACGUGACUAACCUACCCUUGAGUGGGGGAUAACCUAGAGAAAUCUGGGCUAAUACCGCAUAAUACCUUCGGGUCAAAGGAGCAAUUCGCUUAAGGAGGGGUCGCGGCCGAUUAGUUAGUUGGCGGGGUAAUGGCCCACCAAGACUAUGAUCGGUA